GGGCCGCUAGCUCAGUUGGUAGAGCAACGCCCUUUUAAGGCGUGGGUCGUUGGUUCGAGUCCAACGCGGCUCACCA
rnacentral:tRNA from 1 species